CAUGUUUUAUUCCAUUUUUACUGCUGAUAGAAAAAUAACGUCUAUUUGAAAAGUUGUUGUUGUUCCUCGGAGUCACCAGCAGGUGGCAGCAGCGCCUCCUCUCAGCUGUCCGGAAGUCUGGACCAGACUCGGCUGUUUCUCCCAGUAAACCGGUUCGUCUCCCAGUUUUCUUCCAGUUAACGGAGUCGAAAGGCGGCUUGAAGCGGGGACAGCUCGCCGGGAUGGAAGAGUAUCAGAACGGCAGCGAGGCCUCGGGGACAAAUGGAGCUGAAGCUGGAGCAGCUGAUUUACGACGGCCGCCUGGUUUCUGCCGUCAACGUGGCGCUGAGAGACAACGGCCUGCAGCCUGAGGCAACAUGUUGACUCGCUGCCUUCCCACGAUGAUCACACUUUUAAGGUUUCACUGAGAAUCUGGACAAUUUGCCACUGUGUUUUACUCUUAUAAUGUAUUUAUUUAAUUAGGUGCAAAUCAGUUAACAAAUUGCAUCAAUGUAAAGGAAUAGUUAUAAAAAAGAGCAACAUGUUUACAUUUUAUUUUAUUUUCUCAAAGCAAUGCAUAAAGCACAUUAUGUUCAGUUUACAGUUUAUUUACUUUUCUAACUGUUGUAUUUUUCUUGUGAAAAUGUCAAAAGCUCUGGAACAUCUGAUAACUUAUUUUUAAACUUCUGUUUUUCUCAGCUGAUUGUUUGUAAAGAUUUGAUUUUUAAAGUAAAGAAUGUGAAUAAAAGCUAACUUAUUAAAUCUGGGCAUUCAGAGUAAAAAAACAACUCAACACUGGUGCAAAGAAAAGAUUCAACCAAUCCGGUUUGUUUCCGUUUCUGUUCGCAGUGCAGAGUAAACCGGUUCCUUCCAGUUUAAUCCGAAAAUAAAAACAUUCAGGACUUUAAUAAAAGUUUCCCAAAGUCACA